UACGUAGGCAGCAAGCGUUGUCCGGAAUCAUUGGGCGUAAAGCGCGCGUAGGCGGCCCGAUAAGUCCGCUGUAAAAGUCCACGGCUCAACUGUUGAAAGCCGGUGGAUACUGUCGGGCUAGAGUACAGAAGAGGCAAGUGGAAUUCCUGGUGUAGCGGUGGAAUGCGCAGAUAUCAGGAGGAACACCGGUGGCGAAGGCGGGUCUCUGGGCAACAACUGACGCUGAGGAGCGAAAGCGUGGGGAGCGAACAGG
rnacentral:rRNA from 1 species